GAGGAUAUAGCUCAGUGGUAGAGCGCAUGCUUAGCAUGCACGAGGUCCUGGGUUCAACCCCCAGUACCUCCA
rnacentral:tRNA from 1 species